ACGGAAGGCAGCAGUGGGGAAUAUUGCACAAUGGGGGAAACCCUGAUGCAGCGACGCCGCGUGAGCGAUGAAGUAUUUCGGUAUGUAAAGCUCUAUCAGCAGGGAAGAAAAUGACGGUACCUGACUAAGAAGCUCCGGCUAAAUACGUGCCAGCAGCCGCGGUAAUACGUAUGGAGCAAGCGUUAUCCGGAUUUACUGGGUGUAAAGGGAGCGCAGGCGGUUUUGCAAGUCUGAAGUGAAAGCCCGUGGCUCAACCGCGGGACUGCUUUGGAAACUGUAAAACUAGAGUAUCGGAGAGGCAAGUGGAAUUCCUAGUGUAGCGGUGAAAUGCGUAGAUAUUAGGAGGAACACCAGUGGCGAAGGCGGCUUGCUGGACGAUAACUGACGCUGAGGCUCGAAAGCGUGGGGAGCAAACAGGAUUAGAUACCCUGGUA
rnacentral:rRNA from 1 species